AACGCACAUUGCGCCCUUUGGUAUUCCGAAGGGCAUGCCUGUUCGAGCGUCAUUAUCACCUCUCAAGCCCCCGGCUUGGUGUUGGACGGCUUGGUCGAGGGAGGAUCCCUCGACCCCUCCGAAAGACAAUGACGGCGACCGCGUGGAGUCCCCGGUACACUGAGCAUCUUCAUUGAGCACGUAUCGGACAUCGGAAUCCCCGGUCACGGUCCCCCUUCCCCUCGGUGGGAAGAAACUUUUUUACAAGGUUGACCUCGGAUCAGGUAGGAAUACCCGCUGAACUUAA
rnacentral:misc_RNA from 1 species